AUUGAACGCUGGCGGCAGGCCUAAUACAUGCAAGUCGAACGGUAACAUGGAAGUAGCAAUACUUUUGAUGACGAGUGGCGGACGGGUGAGUAAUAUUUGGGAAUCUACCUAUCAGAGGGGGAUAGCAACUGGAAACGGUUGAUAAGACCGCGUACGCUCUGAGGAGGAAAGUAAUGGGAUCGCAAGACCAUUAGCUGAUAGAUGAGCCCAAACGGGAUUAGCUAGUAGGCGGGGUAAGGGCCCACCUAGGCGACGAUCGGUAGGGGUUCUGAGAGGAAGGUCCCCCACAUUGGAACUGAGACACGGUCCAAACUCC
rnacentral:rRNA from 1 species